AGAGUUUGAUCCUGGCUCAGGAUGAACGCUGGCGGCGUGCUUAACACAUGCAAGUCGAGCGAAGCGCUUUGGAAAGAUUCUUCGGAUGAUUUCCUUUGUGACUGAGCGGCGGACGGGUGAGUAACGCGUGGGUAACCUGCCUCAUACAGGGGGAUAACAGUUAGAAAUGACUGCUAAUACCGCAUAAGACCACGGUACCGCAUGGUACAGUGGUAAAAACUCCGGUGGUAUGAGAUGGACCCGCGUCUGAUUAGGUAGUUGGUGGGGUAACGGCCUACCAAGCCGACGAUCAGUAGCCGACCUGAGAGGGUGACCGGCCACAUUGGGACUGAGACACGGCCCAGACUCCUACGGGAGGCAGCAGUGGGGAAUAUUGCACAAUGGAGGAAACUCUGAUGCAGCGACGCCGCGUGAAGGAUGAAGUAUUUCGGUAUGUAAACUUCUAUCAGCAGGGAAGAAAAUGACGGUACCUGACUAAGAAGCCCCGGCUAACUACGUGCCAGCAGCCGCGGUAAUGCGUAGGGGGCAAGCGUUAUCCGGAUUUACUGGGUGUAAAGGGAGCGUAGACGGCACGGCAAGCCAGAUGUGAAAGCCCGGGGCUCAACCCCGGGACUGCAUUUGGAACUGCUGAGCUAGAGUGUCGGAGAGGCAAGUGGAAUUCCUAGUGUAGCGGUGAAAUGCGUAGAUAUUAGGAGGAACACCAGUGGCGAAGGCGGCUUGCUGGACGAUGACUGACGUUGAGGCUCGAAAGCGUGGGGAGCAAACAGGAUUAGAUACCUUGGUAGUCCACGCCGUAAACGAU
rnacentral:rRNA from 1 species